AUUGAACGCUGGCGGCAGGCCUAACACAUGCAAGUCGAACGAGUGGCGGACGGGUGAGUAAUGUCUGGGAAACUGCCUGAUGGAGGGGGAUAACUACUGGAAACGGUAGCUAAUACCGCAUACCAUCGGAUGUGCCAAGAUGGGAUUAGCUAGGAGGUGGGGUAAAGGCUCACCUAGGCGACGAUCCCUAGCUGGUCUGAGAGGAUGACCAGCCACACUGGGACUGAGACACGGUCCAGACUCAUACGGGAGGCAGCAGUAGGGAAUAUUGCACAAAGGGCGAAAGCCUGAUGCAGCCAUGCCGCGUGUAUGAAGAAGGCCUUUGGGUUGUAAAGCACUUUAAGUUAGUAGGCGUUACCAACAGAAUAAGCACCGGCUUACUUCGUGCCAGCAGCCGCGGUAAUAC
rnacentral:rRNA from 1 species